CCAAACGGAGAGUUUGAUCCUGGCUCAGGAUAAACGCUGGCGGCGUGCCUUACGCAUGCAAGUCGAACGAAGCUCCUUCCUUCGGGGAGGAUGACUGAGUGGCAAACGGCUGAGUAACGCGUAGGUGAUCUGCCCCGAGGAGGGGAACAACUCGUCGAAAGGCGAGCUAAUACUCCAUGUGCCCGUGGGUUCAGCCCCGCGGGGAAAGCUCCGGCGCCUUGGGAGGAACCUGCGUCCGAUUAGUUUGUUGGUGGGGUAACGGCCUACCAAGACCACCAUCGGUAGCUGGUCUGAGAGGAUGAUCAGCCAGACUGGGACUGAGAGACGGCCCAGACUCCUACGGGAGGCAGCAGCGAGGAAUCUUGCGCAAUGGGCGAAAGCCUGACGCAGCAACGCCGCGUGGGUGAAGAAGGCCUUCGGGUCGUAAAUCCCUUUUGCCGGGGAAGAACCCUGACGGUACCCGGCGAAUAAGCCACGGCUAACUACGUGCCAGCAGCCGCGGUAAUACGUAGGUGGCGAGCGUUAUCCGGAUUUACUGGGCGUAAAGCGUACGUAGGCGGUUCGGCAAGUCUGUCGUGAAAUCUCCCGGCUUAACCGGGAGCGGUCGAUGGAAACUGCCGGACUUGAGGGACGUAGAGGUGAGCGGAAUUCCCGGUGUAGUGGUGAAAUGCGUAGAUAUCGGGAGGAACACCAGUGGCGAAAGCGGCUCACUAGGCGUU
rnacentral:rRNA from 1 species